GACGAACCGUACGAACGUUAUUCGGAAUUACUGGGCUUAAAGGGUGCGUAGGCUGCGCGGAAAGUUGGGUGUGAAAUCCCUCGGCUCAACCGAGGAACUGCGCCCAAAACUACCGUGCUCGAGGGAGACAGAGGUGAGCGGAACUUAGGGUGGAGCGGUGAAAUGCGUUGAUAUCCUAAGGAACACCCGUGGCGAAAGCGGCUCACUGGGUCUCUUCUGACGCUGAGGCACGAAAGCUAGGUAGCGAACGGG
rnacentral:rRNA from 1 species